CGGGCCGUAGCGCAGCUUGGAUAGCGCGCUUGCUUGGGGUGCAAGAGGUCCCCGGUUCGAAUCCGGGCGGCCCGACCA
rnacentral:tRNA from 1 species